rnacentral:lncRNA from 1 species
ACAACUGGAACCAAAACUGGACUUCCGCCAUUUCCCCCCUCUCACUCACCGUGAACAGACCAGCACGGCAGCGUUCAAGUCCUCCCAUAGAAAUAGUUCGGUUCUUGGGUGUUCUAACCAACACCAAAGUCUAUUCACUUUAACAAGGGAUCAACAAGUGAGGAUUUGUGGGUCACUUUUAUUUUUAACGGACCGGUGCCAGAAACACUGCCUCAGCAUUUAUACGUAUGUGCAUUUCAAACGAGGGUGCGUACAAUGCUGGAUUUGUUUCACGGCUCCUGUUGGAAAAAAAGGACCUAUUCCUAAAGUCCGUCAUCCACUCACUGAAGAGGGCAAAUCCCAGUUGCCCACAUGCAAGGAGGCUGUCAAACAGAGAAAUCACUGCAGACUGUUGGUACACGGACAUCUGCUGCCCAGCUCAGGAGUGAAGUACCUUUUGUUUUGAUGAGGUGAUGGUGAGGACAGCCACAGCUUCCAUCUGGUAGAGGACUGCUUCCGCUCAGUCUUCCAAAUAGUGAUGAGAACAAGGAUCACCACAUCUCCCUGUUUACCCUACUUUCAUGCAUUUCAUCUGCAAGGCCCUGCAAAAGCUUCUCCUUCGUCCUCAAACCCCCAGACUUCUUAAUUAACUCAGUAACCUAUACAUUGCACAUUGGAGUGUGAAGGUAACAGUUUGUUCUAGCUUUGGAGUAAUGGUGUAUUUUUUUGGUUUACAAUAAAGUUGGCUUUAACUAUUAUGUAUUUCA